rnacentral:rRNA from 1 species
UACGAAGGGGGCUAGCGUUGUUCGGAUUUACUGGGCGUAAAGCGUGCGCAGGCGGCUUUGCAAGACAGAUGUGAAAUCCCCGGGCUUAACCUGGGAACUGCAUUUGUGACUGCAUGGCUGGAGUGCGGCAGAGGGGGAUGGAAUUCCGCGUGUAGCAGUGAAAUGCGUAGAUAUGCGGAGGAACACCGAUGGCGAAGGCAAUCCCCUGGGCCUGCACUGACGCUCAUGCACGAAAGCGUGGGGAGCAAACAGG